UGCGCAGGUGGGGAUGUAAGUCAGUGGUGAAAUUUUGCGGCUUAACCGUAAAACUGCCAUUGAUACUGCAUUUCUUGAAUAUGGUUGAGGUAGGCGGAAUGUGUUGUGUAGCGGUGAAAUGCAUAGAUAUGACACAGAACGCCAAUUGCGAAGGCAGCUUACUAAGCCAUUAUUGACGCUGAGGCACGAAAGCGUGGGGAGCGAACCGGAUUAGAUACCCGCGUAGUCC
rnacentral:rRNA from 1 species